CCUACGGGGGGCAGCAGUGGGGAAUAUUGGACAAUGGGGGGAACCCUGAUCCAGCCAUGCCGCGUGUGUGAAGAAGGCCCUCGGGUUGUAAAGCACUUUCAGUGAGGAAGAACACCUGGUGGUUAAUACCCAUCAGGAAAGACAUCACUCACAGAAGAAGCACCGGCUAACUCCGUGCCAGCAGCCGCGGUAAUACGGAGGGUGCGAGCGUUAAUCGGAAUUACUGGGCGUAAAGCGCGCGUAGGUGGCUUGAUAAGCCGGUUGUGAAAGCCCCGGGCUCAACCUGGGAACGGCAUCCGGAACUGUCAAGCUAGAGUGCAGGAGAGGAAGGUAGAAUUCCCGGUGUAGCGGUGAAAUGCGUAGAGAUCGGGAGGAAUACCAGUGGCGAAGGCGGCCUUCUGGACUGACACUGACACUGAGGUGCGAAAGCGUGGGUAGCAAACAGGAUUAGAUACCCCGGUAGUC
rnacentral:rRNA from 1 species